rnacentral:rRNA from 1 species
UACGUAGGGUGCAGGCGUUAAUCGGAAUUACUGGGCGUAAAGCGUGCGCAGGCGGUCUGCUAAGAGAGAUGUGAAAUCCCCGGGCUUAACCUGGGAACUGCGUUUCUAACUGGCAGGCUUGAGUGUGGCAGAGGGGGGUGGAAUUCCACGUGUAGCAGUGAAAUGCGUAGAGAUGUGGAGGAACACCGAUGGCGAAGGCAGCCCCCUGGGCUAACACUGACGCUCAUGCACGAAAGCGUGGGUAGCAAACAGG